GUCCACGCCCUAAACGAUGUCAACUGGUUGUUGGGAAUUUCGAUUCUUAGUAACGAAGCUAACGCGAGAAGUUGACCGCCUGGGGAGUACGGCCGCAAGGUUAAAACUCAAAGGAAUUGACGGGGGCCCGCACAAGCGGUGGAUGAUGUGGAUUAAUUCGAUGCAACGCGAAAAACCUUACCUGGUCUUGACAUGUCGAGAAUCUCUGAGAGAUUGGAGAGUGCCGCAAGGAACUCGAACACAGGUGCUGCAUGGCUGUCGU
rnacentral:rRNA from 1 species